rnacentral:rRNA from 1 species
GACGGAGGAUGCAAGUGUUAUCCGGAAUCACUGGGCGUAAAGCGUCUGUAGGUGGUUCAAUAAGUCAACUGUUAAAUCUUGAGGCUCAACUUCAAAAAUCGCAGUCGAAACUAUUGGACUCGAGUAUAGUAGGGGUAAAGGGAAUUUCCAGUGGAGCGGUGAAAUGCGUAGAGAUUGGAAAGAACACCAAUGGCGAAAGCACUUUACUGGGCUAUUACUGA